rnacentral:lncRNA from 1 species
AAUUUGGUGAUCAGGUAAUUUGCUGUGAAACACUGCAACAUACUAGAAACAACUCUCUUUCUUGUUGUCUUAGAUCCAUCUCUGUCUAAUGUGACUGUGUAUGUCACUGGAGACUCUCCAGUCUUCACCCUCUACAGCCCGACAGGUGAGCCAGUGCACCUCAGAAAUUGUUUGCAGAUAUGAGGGUUUUAUUCUGUUCAAUAGAAAAACAAGAUGUCAAAAUCAUUGUUUAAAAUAAGCAGAUUCCCCACACUUUCAGGUGUGUCUCAGUCAGGUUCAGUGGCAGAUGGUCCUCUGGGCAGCAUCCUGACUGUAGGGAAUCUAAAGAGAGUAAAACUCAACUCCACCGGCCAGACAGGAGAAUGGAAGAUCAGCAUUAACUCUACAAGCUCCUACAGCCUGAAAAUCACUGGUAUGGGUUUUUAAUCUGCCGGUAUAUGUUUUGUUUUGCUUUGUUUGUAAACCAUUGAGAUUUUGUUAAUAUAUUUAUUUUUAAAAUGUAAAAAAAUUAUACUGCUCAAUAAACAAUGGUUUAAGGGGAAAAAAAUCAGUAAAAUGUUUUCCUUUGGAAUAUUCCAAUCACUGCUGCAUCUCACAGUGAGCUACUUUCUCUCUGCUUUAAUUGAGACUACAGGUCAGAGUUCUGUGAACUUUCUCUUUAACUUCGUGGAGCGGUUAGAAGGGGGUGACUUCACACCGAAAGCCAAUCGUCCCUUCACCGGUCGGAAUGCUACUUUGUUUGUCUCUGUGACCGGAGGAGAUUCAGUCACAGUGACUGACGUGCUUCUGGUUGAAGCUUCAGGAUCUAAUGUUGUUAAUGGAACCAUAAAAGCAUUGGGUGCGACAGACUUCCUGGUCAACAUCGACAGAAUCCCAGAGUGGCCGUUUGUGGUGCAGCUGAAAGGGCUGUUGAAUGACUCAACAACUCGAUCUUUGCCUAGUCGAUUCCAGAGACAGUCACCCACCCAGCAACAAGGAUCUAGAUUUACUAUCACGGUGAGCUUGAAGGGCCAGUUGACCCAAAAAUUAAAAUUUUUAUAUGGAAUUGGCAAAACCUAUGAAAAUAAUAUAUAUAAGACAUGCAAAAUACAAUGA